GUAUAAUCAAAAGGGUGUAGCAUUUUCAAUGGCAAAAUGUUGGACUUGGCAUGUGUUCUGCUCACUCUGUGUAUUACAAGGGCAAAAUAUUAGUUGUGAACAUUUAAUUCCAGCUGUUCUUAACAAAUGUACAAAAGAUCAAGAACCCCAGACGAAACUGUACAUUUCACAUAUUUAAGGAGGACAUUUGAGGCUACAUCUCUCAUAUUUCAGGGAAAACUGUCAAGGACGUAAAAUCUGUUAACAAAUUUAAAAAAAGAAAUCUGUCAGAAAUACGAUUCCAGUUUCAUGCUCUAUUCUCUCAUGAGAUUUCCCUAUUAGAAGAGACAUUGUUUGGGUAGAAUCCAAAGGCAGCAUCCGUCCUUGCAACAGAACCAUUUUACGAGGAUGACCGAAACUGUUAGUCUUCAAUUAGAGAGAAGCGUGUCAACGUUCU